AGCUUUGCGCAGUGGCAGUAUUGUAGCCAAUGAGGUUUAUCCGAGGCGCGAUUAUUGCUAAAUUGAGGUUCUCCGUUUUUUAACAAAGAACCUGACAUUUCAUAUUUUGUAUUGGA
ensembl:snRNA U4 U4 spliceosomal RNA